UCUUUUUGUUUAAAAUUUAAAGUCUAGCCUGCUCAAUGAAUAAUUUAAAUAGCCGCAGUAUUUUGACUGUGCUAAGGUAGCAUAAUCAUUAGUUUUUUAAUUGAAAACUGGAAUGAAUGGUUGGAUGAAAAAAUUACUGUCUUUAAUUAAAUAAUUAAAAUUUUAUUUUUAAGUUCAAAAGCUUAAAUUAAAUUUAAAGACGAGAAGACCCUAUAGAAUUUUAUAUAAAUUUUACUUUUAAUAUUUAGAAUUUAAUUUUAAAUUUAAUUUUAUAUUUGAUUGGGGUGAUUAAAAAAUUAAUUAAACUUUUUUUCUAUAUUAAUAUAAAUUAAUAGGUUUUUGAUCCUUUUUUUUGAUUAUAAGAUAAAUUACCUUAGGGAUAACAGCGUAAUUUUAUUGGAAAGUUCUUAUUGAUAAUAAAGAUUGCGACCUCGAUGUUGGAUUAAAA
rnacentral:rRNA from 1 species